UACGUAGGGUGCGAGCGUUAAUCGGAAUUACUGGGCGUAAAGCGUGCGCAGGCGGUUUUGUAAGACAGGCGUGAAAUCCCCGGGCUUAACCUGGGAACUGCGCUUGUGACUGCAAGGCUAGAGUGCGGCAGAGGGGGGUAGAAUUCCACGUGUAGCCGUGAAAUGCGUAGAGAUGUGGAGGAAUACCGAUGGCGAAGGCAGCCCCCUGGGUCGACACUGACGCUCAUGCACGAAAGCGUGGGGAGCAAACAGG
rnacentral:rRNA from 1 species